GCAGGUCUGCCAGGGCUCGGGAAGAACACUGAAACAUUCCCAGUGUUCUUCCUGGCAGGCUGUAAGGAAGGGUUUUCCAGCCGCAGUCAGCGCUGGCAUCGUGGCACGGCCGGAGCGCGGCCCCUCCGGCUCAGCGCAAUCAAACCAGUCAAGCCCAGGCUGCUGGCAGGAAAGGGUCUUUUUGAGUACACUCUGACACUCAAGAAGUUCUGCACGCCCAGAAAAUUCACAAUCAGCUCAUCCCUGUGUUGGUGAGCAACUACCCAACUGUUUGAAUAACCAGUGUGUCAGCUGGGAUCAGAUGGGGAAAAGGAAGUGGCUACAACACUCCCAGGAUUACAGUUCUCACCCAAAUUGUACAGCCAGCUCAACUGAAUCAAGGCUUUACUGCAAAGUCUAGAAAGUGCAUAGUCUUUAUCUGCACAAAGGACAUAACUCCUCAAGGGUGUUACCAGCUGAAGAGGAGCAGGGAAAGACAAACGGUACAUUCAUAAUAUAUCAACACUCAGCGUUGCAGCUCAACAGCAACACCAACAUCAAGUGCUGUUGUAGAAAGAACUUAACACCAGAGCAAGAACCAGCCCUGCUGCUCUGACACCAUGUGCUGUUAUUGAGCACAAUAUCUUUCCUUCUAGUAAAAAAUAAAUAAAAAAUAAAACUGAAAA